rnacentral:rRNA from 1 species
CGCACCUUCGGGUGAGCGGCGGACGGGUUAGUAACGCGUGGGAAUAUACCCAGAUCUACGGAAUAGCCUCGGGAAACUGAGAGUAAUACCGUAUACGCCCUUCGGGGGAAAGAUUUAUCGGAUUUGGAUUAGCCCGCGUUAGAUUAGAUAGUUGGUGAGGUAACGGCUCACCAAGUCUACGAUCUAUAGCUGGUUUUAGAGGAUGAUCAGCAACACUGGGACUGAGACACGGCCCAGACUCCUACGGGAGGCAGCAGUGGGGAAUCUUGGACAAUGGGCGCAAGCCUGAUCCAGCCAUGCCGCGUGUGUGAUGAAGGCCUUAGGGUCGUAAAGCACUUUCGCCAGAGAUGAUAAUGACAGUAUCUGGUAAAGAAACCCCGGCUAACUCCGUGCCAGCAGCCGCGGUAAUACGGAGGGGGUUAGCGUUGUUCGGAAUUACUGGGCGUAAAGCGUACGUAGGCGGAUUAGAAAGUAUGGGGUGAAAUCCCAGGGCUCAACCCUGGAACUGCCUCAUAAACUCCUAGUCUAGAGUUCGAGAGAGGUGAGUGGAAUUCCGAGUGUAGAGGUGAAAUUCGUAGAUAUUCGGAGGAACACCAGUGGCGAAGGCGGCUCACUGGCUCGAUACUGACGCUGAGUACGA